GACGAGGGGUCCUAGCGUUGUUCGGAAUCACUGGGCGUAAAGCGCGUGUAGGCGGCUUUGCAAGUCGGAUGUGAAAGCCCACGGCUCAACCGUGGAAGUGCAUCCGAAACUGCAUGGCUUGAGUCUCGGAGAGGAAGGUGGAAUGCUUGGUGUAGAGGUGAAAUUCGUAGAUAUCAAGCAGAACACCUGCGGCGAAGGCGGCCUUCUGGACGAUGACUGACGCUGAGACGCGAAAGCGUGGGGAGCAAACAGG
rnacentral:rRNA from 1 species